CUACCAUGAAAGACUUCUGAAUCCAGGAAGAGAAACUGACUGGGCAACAUGUUAUUCAGAGAUGGGACCUCAGUAUGUUGCCAUGGCUGACCUUGAACUCCUGCACUCAAGGGAUUUUCCUACCCUGGCCUCCCAAAGUAUUGGUAUUACAGGCAUGAGCCAUUGUGCCCACCGUCUCUGGUUCUUAACCUUCUGCCUCCCUCUUCCAGUUUUAAAGAAUGCUUGUAAUUACAUGGGCUCUCCUAGAUACUCCAGGAUAAUCUUGUUUUAAGGUCAGCUGAUGAGCAACAUUAAUUUUAUCUGCACUCUUAAUUCCCCCUUCCUAUGUAAUUGUGCUGUGUAACAUAGGACAUGAGCAAUUGGUGGCGGUGGGGGUUAUUACUUUGGCCACCACAGUAACUAUUUUAUGCCAGGUACUCAGCUAAGCACUGGUGAAUUAAGCAUGAAUAACACACACUCCUUAAUCUCCAUCCAUUCAUGGGAGGAGCACUUCACCUGCCAUGCUCCUGAGAAUCUCGGGAGU
rnacentral:lncRNA from 10 species